rfam:Myotis lucifugus cont2.7166, whole genome shotgun sequence.
GGCGGUUCUCAGGUGACACACCCCAGAAUCAGGCUCCCUCCUCUAUGGUUCUGGGCGUGUCACACAAAAACUGCA